rnacentral:telomerase_RNA from 1 species
UGGGCCCGGGGGCGGUGGCGGCCAUUUUAUAUCUAACCCUAAAUGAGACGGGCGUAGGCGCGGCGCUUUUGCUCCCCCGCGCGCUGUUUUUCUCGCUGACUUUCAGCGGGCGGAAAAAGCCUCGGCCUACCGCCAUCCACGAUUCAGUCUGAAGUAAACAAAAAAUGUCAGCCGCUGGCUCGCUCACUACUCCCGGGAACCUGCGGUGGCUCGCCCGCCCAGCCCCCGCGCCCGCCUAAGGCCGCGGUUUGCCCGGGGCUUCUCCGGAGGCGCCCAUUGCCGCCGCGAAGAGUUGGUCUCUGUCAGCCGCGGGUGUCUCGUGGGCCAAGGCGAGGCUCUGAUCGCAGGGAAAGGAAUGGAGCGGGUACCCGCGCGCGGUGCGCAUCUCUGAGCUGUGGGACGUGCACUCGGGACUCGGCUCAGACACUU